ACAAAAAUUGAAUAAACUACUUAUUUAUACUGUGAAUUGGCGCAGUGUUUCUACAAGACACCGUAAUGUCUAACAAUAAGUAAGCUAAAAAGCUUG
rfam:Streptococcus uberis 0140J complete genome